GAAGGAGGAGAAGGAAUGUGCCUGUUGUUUUCAGGAUGGGAUGUGUAAUCUGACCACUUGGCAGUCUCCCAUACAAGCAAGCAAGUGGCAAGGGGCAGGUGUUCUGGGACUGAGGAACCACGCAGAGUGCACAGAGUACAGGGAGCAGCAAGAUAGAAGUGUGUUUCCUUUCGUUCUCUACAGAGGGAUGCUACAGCUAACCAAAAAAAUAAACCCUUGAAAGUCCCCCAAUGACAAAAUCUUUCCUCAGCCCCUGAUCCUGAAAGAAGCUGGUUCACAGAGCACUCACAGAGCAUCACUGAACAUGAGGAGAGUAUACCUGCAGGGAAGCUCUUUGAAGGAAUCAGCCUGAUCUCAUGUUCCAGGAAUGAAACCCUGGCAUGGAAGUGGCAUAUCUGCUAGUUAAUGUCAACAUUUGAUGUGCAGUGAGAGAGCAAACAGGAUUUCAUAUUGUGGAAGUCAACCUUCUUUAUGUCUGUUUGAAAGUCUUACCAGCCUUCUCAGAUCUGGCCAGCUCUGGAAAACUUGUCUCAGCAGCUCUGGGUAUUUUGGUAGCAAGAACACCACUCUCCCACCAGCAUAUCAGGAGGUAUAUAUGGAGGCCCUUUCGGAAACCCACCAAAGGAGACAAGAUGCCCAAGUACCAGAGUUGCCCUCAACAUCUAUCCUGACCAACCAGACAGAGAGAAAAUCAGUUCAGCUUCUUCUGCUCAGAAACGCUGAGGCUGAGCAAGUAAAAUCAGUAUGGGGAGUAUAA
rnacentral:lncRNA from 1 species